AAGGCUUACGACUGGUUGGUGGCAGUGGGUGCCCCUUUUUCUUUUCUUUUCUAAAAUUUAGUUUUGCCACACCUCUAUAGGUGAAGGCAGUAGCAAUGCUGGAAACAGUGGAGCUCUUCCUGGUGGCCAGCUCUAGCCAGGCACCAUUUCCCAGAAUGCAUCGGGAAUGAUGCCACAUAGGGACCAAUUUGCUGUCUCUUUAAAUAUCCCCUUCAAAAUAACGCUACAUCACAAUGUCUCUUUGUUCUCAGUGCAUUCCAGUGAAAAAUGGGGGUUGGAUGGAAUCUGCCACCAGGAAGAGCUGCAACACUUCCAAAGCUGGGUUGUCCAAGAUGAAAAUCCAAUGGAAAAAAUCAAGCAAACCAAGCAGAACAGGGAGAUUCAAGAACAAAUCAAACUGCAGACAAAUCAAAACUUUGCCCAAACUAAAAUAUUUUUAGGUGCUGGCAAAAACCAGAAUGUUAGAGGGCCAGUUGGUAAUCCCAAGGCAUGAAGUUCCUCAUUUUAGAUGCUGCAAAAGAGAAAGCCCUCUCACAUGUUCGCACUAACCAAACCUCAGAAGGAGGUGGUUUCAUGUAGGGCUCUGUCAGAUGCAACAUGGAUCCAAGUCUGAAUUUAACCAAGCUUCUAAAAACAAGCAGAUAUGUGCUCUGCAAACGAUAAAAAAACAAUGUGGUUUG